CAUGCAAGUCGAACGGCAGCGCGGGGCAACCUGGUGGCGAGUGGCGAACGGGUGAGUAAUAUAUCGGAACGUACCCUGGAGUGGGGGAUAACGUAGCGAAAGUUACGCUAAUACCGCAUACGAUCUAAGGAUGAAAGUGGGGGCUUCGCAAGAACCUCAUGCUCCUGGAGCGGCCGAUAUCUGAUUAGCUAGUUGGUAGGGUAAAAGCCUACCAAGGCUUCGAUCAGUAGCUGGUCUGAGAGGACGACCAGCCACACUGGAACUGAGACACGGUCCAGACUCCUACGGGAGGCAGCAGUGGGGAAUUUUGGACAAUGGGCGCAAGCCUGAUCCAGCAAUGCCGCGUGAGUGAAGAAGGCCUUCGGGUUGUAAAGCUCUUUUGUCAGGGAAGAAACGGUGAGGGCUAAUAUCCCUUGCUAAUGACGGUACCUGAAGAAUAAGCACCGGCUAACUACGUGCCAGCAGCCGCGGUAAUACGUAGGGUGCAAGCGUUAAUCGGAAUUACUGGGCGUAAAGCGUGCGCAGGCGGUUUUGUAAGUUUGUCGUGAAAGCCCCGGGCUCAACCUGGGAAUUGCGAUGAAGACUGCAAGGCUUGAAUCUGGCAGAGGGGGGUAGAAUUCCACGUGUAGCAGUGAAAUGCGUAGAGAUGUGGAGGAACACCGAUGGCGAAGGCAGCCCCCUGGGUCAAGAUUGACGCUCAUGCACGAAAGCGUGGGGAGCAAACAGGAUUAGAUACCCUGGUAGUCCACGCCCUAAACGAUGUCUACUAGUUGUCGGGUUUUAAUUAACUUGGUAACGCAGCUAACGCGUGAAGUAGACCGCCUGGGGGAGUACGGUCGCAAGAUUAAAACUCAAAGGAAUUGACGGGGACCCGCACAAGCGGUGGAUGAUGUGAUUAAUUCGAUGCAACGCGAAAAACCUUACCUACCC
rnacentral:rRNA from 1 species